AUUCCGGUCCCAGGCAGCUCCCGGGGCCCUGGAGCGGGGUUUGUUUCCAUUCCCACACCCGGGCCUCUGGAAGGCUGGAGACCCGCAGAAUUUGGGUCGGAAUUCCCUCGGCUGCCCUGGCAGCGUGCGCGGCUCUGCCGGCAGGGCGGGAGCAGAGCAGAUAACGGGAUUGUUCCGGAGGAGAUAACGGGGCCGGGAUCGUUCCCGCAGCGCUUCCCAAGGACACGCCGGGGCCCAGAGCCCAAACAGCUCCGGCUGCCCAAGGACGCGGCCCCGGAGCCGCUUCCCCAGCUGGAAUUGUCUGGAAACAGCAGCAGCAGCUCAGGGCUCCCCAUCCCGCCACCAUCCCCGAGCCCUCCUUGUCCCACCCCAAAAUCCCACCUGACCCCAAGGACGCUCGGGAGAGGCUGAGUUUUCCAAUGUUUUAUUUGUGUUUUGAGAUUACAGAGUCUUUAUUGCUGAUCUAAUACAAUCACUCAGACAUUAAUAUUUAAAACAUCCUUCUGAAA